UGGGGAAUUUUGGACAAUGGGGGAAACCCUGAUCCAGCCAUCCCGCGUGUGCGAUGAAGGCCUUCGGGUUGUAAAGCACUUUUGGCAGGAAAGAAACGUCGCGGGUUAAUACCCCGCGAAACUGACGGUACCUGCAGAAUAAGCACCGGCUAACUACGUGCCAGCAGCCGCGGUAAUACGUAGGGUGCAAGCGUUAAUCGGAAUUACUGGGCGUAAAGCGUGCGCAGGCGGUUCGGAAAGAAAGAUGUGAAAUCCCAGAGCUUAACUUUGGGAACUGCAUUUUUAACUACCGGGCUAGAGUGUGUCAGAGGGAGGUGGAAUUCCGCGUGUAGCAGUGAAAUGCGUAGAUAUGCGGAGGAACACCGAUGGCGAAGGCAGCCUCCUGGGAUAACACUGACGCUCAUGCACGAAAAGCGUGGGGAGCAAACAGGAUUAGAUACCCUGGUAGUCCACGCCCUAAACGAUGUCAACUAGCUGUUGGGGCCUUCGGGCCUUGGUAGCGCAGCU
rnacentral:rRNA from 1 species